rnacentral:rRNA from 1 species
UAAGCGGGAAGCCUACUUCAAGAUAAGAUAUCCCAUGGCAUUAGCCAUCUGAAGGCUCGUGGUAGACUACCACGUAGAUAGGUCGGAUGUGGAAGUGCAGUAAUGCAUGCAGCUUACCGAUACUAAUCAGCCGUGCGGCUUAUCCAUAUUUUUUU